CCCUUAGAUGUCCUGGGCCGCACGCGCGUUACACUGAUGCAUUCAACGAGCUUAUAACCUUCGCCGAGAGGCCUGGGCAAUCUUGUUAACGUGCAUCGUGAUAGGGAUAGAUUAUUGAAAUUAUUAAUCUUGAACGAGGAAUUCCUAGUAAACGCAGAUCAUCAAUCUGCAUUGAUUACGUCCCUGCCCUUUGGACACACCGCCCGUCGCACCUACCGAUUGGAUGGUCCGGUGAAGCCUCGGGAUUGUGGUUCUUGCCGCUUUAUUGUGGCGUGACCGCGAGAACUUGUCUAAACCUUAUCAUCUAGAGGAAGGUGAAGUCGUAACA
rnacentral:rRNA from 1 species